CAGUGGUGGUGUCAUCGGUUUUUAUUAGAUCAUUGUCAGUGAAUGUGAAGUUGUCGAGCUAUGUGUAAACCGUAAUACCGUAUGGCCAUACGCAUAAGUUUAAAUUUAAUUUGCUAUGAGGACAAUGUCUUUAUUUAUGAUAAUGUAACUAAUUAUUUGUUUAUUUUUGUAGUCAAAGAUUCGUAAAAACAUUUGAAAAAUGUUAAGAAAUUUGUAAGUGCUUUUGUAGUUACAAAUUA
rnacentral:lncRNA from 1 species